rnacentral:misc_RNA from 1 species
GUUGAAGAACGCAGCGAAAUGCGAUACGUAAUGUGAAUUGCAGAAUUCAGUGAAUCAUCGAAUCUUUGAACGCAUAUUGCGCUCUCUGGUAUUCCGGAGAGCAUGCUUGUUUGAGUAUCAGUAAACACCUCAGCUUCCAUAUCUUUUUUGAAAUGGGAGUUGGACUUGAGUGAUCCCAACGCUUUUCCUCACCGAAAAGUGGCGGGUUACUUGAAAUGCAGGUGCAGCUGGACUUUUCUCUGAGCUAUAAGCAUAUCUAUUUAGUCUGCCUAAAAACAGAUUAUUACCUUUGCUGCAGCUAACAUAAAGGAGAUUAGUUCUUGUGCUGACUGAUGCAGGAUUCACAAAGACAGGCUUCGGCCGACUUUGUAAACUCGAUCUCAAAUCAAGUAAGACUACCCGCUGAACUUAAGCAUAUCAAUAAGCGGAGGA